AUACGUAGGUGGCAAGCGUUGUCCGGAUUUACUGGGCGUAAAGGGAGCGUAGGUGGAUAUUUAAGUGGGAUGUGAAAUACUCGGGCUUAACCUGGGUGCUGCAUUCCAAACUGGAUAUCUAGAGUGCAGGAGAGGAAAGGAGAAUUCCUAGUGUAGCGGUGAAAUGCGUAGAGAUUAGGAAGAAUACCAGUGGCGAAGGCGCCUUUCUGGACUGUAACUGACACUGAGGCUCGAAAGGGUGGGGAGCAAACAGGAUUAGAUCCCCUGGUAGUCCACGCCGUAAACGAUGAAUACUAGGUGUAGGGGUUGUCAUGACCUCUGUGCCGCCGCUAACGCAUUAAGUAUUCCGCCUGGGGAGUACGGUCGCAAGAUUAAAACUCAAAGGAAUUGACUGGG
rnacentral:rRNA from 1 species